AACAGAGACCAAAAAUGUUAUGGCCACAGAGCUAGCAAAUGACAGAGCCAGGAUAUCAACCUAGGAAGAUUUUUUUUUUUAAGAUUUUAUUUAUUUAUUCAUGAGAGACACAGAGAGAGAGGCAGAGACAUAGGCAGAGAGAGAAGCAGGCUCCCUGCAAGGAGCUCGAUGUGGAACUCAAUCCCAGGACCGCAGGAUCACGAUCUGAGCUGAAGACAGAUGCUCAACCACUGAGCCAUCCAGGUGCCCCCACUCCCACCCCAGGGAGACCUUAGUACCCUGCUAAAAACAUCUAUUACACGACUGUCAUUCUCAGAUUAGGCUUUGACCCUUCUUUCCCAUUCAGCAACGGGGGUCUAACAAUCUAGAGGGCAAUUGUCUCACAUCAAAGGGACCUUCCAAGCAAAAGCCUCUGCUUCCUCCAGGAAGCUCUUCCUAGCACUUUAGUAGAACCCUGGGCCCACCCCAUUCUGGCUCUCAGCUCAGUGACCUCACAAGAUUGGGAGCUUCUGAAGGAUAGGGACAAUUCAAUAUUGGGUCCACAGGCUCUCAACCAAGGUCUGUCACUAAGUAGGUAAACGAUUGUAUAACAAAUGAGCCUUUUGCUCUCGCACACCUCCAACAUAGGCACUUGAGGACCCUCAACCUUCAGCUGCCCAGAGUCCCAGAAUGCCUCUUCAGAACCCUCAGACUGAUGGUCCUUUCCAUACCUGCCCUCAAAGAUGGCUACUGGGGGUGGAGGUGGGAGAGAAUAACGGCUCUGCUCUAAUUCUUCAGGAUUGGCCUCCACUCUGGUGUGCGGUUUCUUUUACCUCUUAACACAUUCCCCUCUGCACCUUCCUCCCCUAGGGUGCUUGAUGUCUUUUUCCAGACCCUUCCUCCAGGGCAUUGGAUGGCGUAGGCAACAGAUGGAGUCCCAUAGAGCAACAGGAUGCUUCUCUUCCACGCAGUCACACCUGUACCCACUGCCUGCCAGCCGCCCCCACCUGCUAACCACACCACCCUAUCUUGAAAGCACAGAUGAUGAGGUCUUAAAGGUCAGAAAAAUGAUCCUCCAAAGGAAAUACAGAAGAAUAUACUUUGGAAUGGCUGAGCAAAGUAUGGACAUUCAAA
rnacentral:lncRNA from 1 species